rnacentral:lncRNA from 1 species
GGAAAAUAUUCCGUUUCGGGGCACUACAAAAUAUCAUGGGUCUUCAAACAGCAAAGUGCACAAAUUGUAGGUUUAAAUCCAUAAAAACCCCAUUCUGCAUAUUUGACCCAUAAAGGCCUUCUGGAUGUAUAUUGAAUCCAAGAGGAGGUAUAAAUUCCAUAGUUGCACAAAUUGUAACCCAAAAAAUAAAAUCAAGUAAAUAAAAAGAUAUAUACAAAAAUAAUUAACUAAAAAUAUGAUUAACACAAAUUAUUUAAAACAAUCCCCGGCAACGGCACCAAUGUAUUGAUAGGAUUUUUAUCACCUACAAAAGUUGGGAUAAAAACACUUAAAAAUACUUGCAAUAGUACAAGGUAAUUGUAGUAUAGCAAGGUCGUUCUCCACAAGAAUUGAAUAAAUAAAUUGGCAAAGUAAAAUUAACUAAAAGAAAGGUUUUUGAAAAUUAAAUUGUAAAAACACUAGUGUUCCACUGUCACCUUAACAAUCGUACGUAGUUCUUCCAAUUACUUAUUAUGCCUUCCACAUGCAUAUUUCGAAAGUUAGGUUUUUCUAAAGUAUGCCCACUUAGACCGUAUAUCAAACAUGCAACCCAUCUGUGGUAUCCAGAUCAAAUCUAAACAUACAAGACUCAUUAAACUUUAUGAAAAACCAUGCAACCCUUAAGAUGUGGUAUUCAUCCUAAGUGUUGCAUAUAUUAACCACAAGAAGCCUUCAUCAAUUUCAGGGAUUGACCUCCGACCAAAAUUGCAUCAAAUUACUUUUCUAAUUAUCCUCAUGGUGAUCAAGCAUUAAGAUAAUUAGAUAGUUUAAAUAGGGUGAUUAAUAAUUCCAAACCUGGAUGCAUAAUAUCAUAAGGAAAUUGAAAAGAAACUACAUAUUAUUGCUAAGGCUCGUUGUCACACCAUAAUCCCGACAUACGUCCAGGAUCAACGCGCGACGGUGAACUGUAAGGAAAUGUCAGGAAUACAACUGAAAUACUGAACAUAAAUUAGGAAUAUUUAUAGUAACUAUGCAAGGAAAAGUAUAGGGGUAACCAAACACUCCAAGCUCUCUAAACUCUAUUUGCUAACCCAAAGCUCCUCGUACUAACUAAAACCUACACAAUUGCCCCCCACACCAUGGGAAUGGUGCACCGAGCAAACAACAACUCGGAUAAGCUGCGAAGCUCGUGUGAGAAACAAUAAUGCGACGUAUAUAAUGAUGCUAAAAACCAACCAUCAAUUUGGUUUAUGAAUGUCAAAUAUAAAUUCAUAUUUUAUGAAUUGAUAAUCAAGUCA